CCUACGGGAGGCAGCAGUGGGGAAUAUUGCACAAUGGGCGCAAGCCUGAUGCAGCGACGCCGCGUGAGGGAUGACGGCCUUCGGGUUGUAAACCUCUUUCAGUACCGACGAAGCGCAAGUGACGGUAGGUACAGAAGAAGCACCGGCCAACUACGUGCCAGCAGCCGCGGUAAUACGUAGGGUGCGAGCGUUGUCCGGAAUUACUGGGCGUAAAGAGCUCGUAGGCGGUUUGUCGCGUCGUCUGUGAAAACCCGCAGCUCAACUGCGGGCUUGCAGGCGAUACGGGCAGACUUGAGUACUGCAGGGGAGACUGGAAUUCCUGGUGUAGCGGUGAAAUGCGCAGAUACAGGAGGAACACCGGUGGCGAAGGCGGGUCUCUGGGCAGUAACUGACGCUGAGGAGCGAAAGCGUGGGUAGCGAACAGAUUAGAUACCCUGGUAGUCCACGCCGUAAACGGUGGGCGCUAGUGUGGGUUUCCCUUCCACGGGGACCGUGCCUACCUAACGUCUUUCCACCGCCCCCCCCGGGCCCUGGGGGACCCCACGCCGCUAU
rnacentral:rRNA from 1 species